UAAAGCAUUGGGGCGUGCUUACACAUGCAGUCGAACGAUGAAGCCCAGCUUGCUGGGUGGAUUAGUGGCGAACGGGUGAGUAACACGUGAGUAACCUGCCCUUGACUCUAGGAUAAGCCCGGGAAACUGGGUCUAAUACUGGAUAGGAACGUCUACCGCAUGGUGGAUGUUGGAAAGAAUUUCGGUCAUGGAUGGACUCGCGGCCUAUCAGCUUGUUGGUGAGGUAAUGGCUCACCAAGGCGACGACGGGUAGCCGGCCUGAGAGGGUGACCGGCCACACUGGGACUGAGACACGGCCCAGACUCCUACGGGAGGCAGCAGUGGGGAAUAUUGCACAAUGGGCGAAAGCCUGAUGCAGCGACGCCGCGUGAGGGAUGACGGCCUUCGGGUUGUAAACCUCUUUCAGUAGGGAAGAAGCGAAAGUGACGGUACCUGCAGAAGAAGCACCGGCUAACUACGUGCCAGCAGCCGCGGUAAUACGUAGGGUGCGAGCGUUAUCCGGAAUUAUUGGGCGUAAAGAGCUCGUAGGCGGUUUGUCGCGUCUGUCGUGAAAGUCCGGGGCUUAACCCCGGAUCUGCGGUGGGUACGGGCAGACUAGAGUGCAGUAGGGGAGACUGGAAUUCCUGGUGUAGCGGUGGAAUGCGCAGAUAUCAGGAGGAACACCGAUGGCGAAGGCAGGUCUCUGGGCUGUAACUGACGCUGAGGAGCGAAAGCAUGGGGAGCGAACAGGAUUAGAUACCCUGGUAGUCCAUGCCGUAAACGUUGGGCACUAGGUGUGGGGAACAUUCCACGUUUUCCGCGCCGCAGCUAACGCAUUAAGUGCCCCGCCUGGGGAGUACGGCCGCAAGGCUAAAACUCAAAGGAAUUGACGGGGGCCCGCACAAGCGGCGGAGCAUGCGGAUUAAUUCGAUGCAACGCGAAGAACCUUACCAAGGCUUGACAUGUUCUCGAUCGCCGUAGAGAUACGGUUUCCCCUUUGGGGCGGGUUCACAGGUGGUGCAUGGGUUGUCGUCAGCUCGUGUCGUGAGAUGUUGGGUUAAGUCCCGGCAACGAGCGCAACCCUCGUUUCAUGUUGG
rnacentral:rRNA from 1 species